GGGAGGCGAGCGAUCGCGGCGCCGCGAGCGGGUUGCGGGCAGCGGGGGACGGCAAACUUUGCUGUUCGCCGCGCUUCCCCGGCCCGGCCCCUUCUCCCAUCGCCAACGUCGCCACCCCACUUUCCUCCAACCCCGCACACCUCUCCCCACCCACCCCACCUCCCGUCGCUCCUCCUCGCCGCCUCGACUCUGCUCCGGGGAAAACUUCAAAGCGCCGGAUCGCAGGCUCCCUGCUUACUCCCCGGCCGGGGAUUUCAGACUAGACGCUUGAAGAAAAGCUGCCAUCCAAGAAGACGACAUGCUUUCAGCAACCCCCCUGUAUGGGAACGUUCACAGCUGGAUGAACAGCGAGAGGGUCCGCAUGUGUGGGAUCAGCGACGACAGGAAAAUUCCUGUAAACGAUGGUGACGCUUCAAAGGCCAGACUGGAACUAAGGGAAGAAAAUCCCUUGAAUCACAACGUGGUGGACGCGACCACGGCCCAUCGGAUCGAUGGCCUGGCAGCGCUGAGCAUGGACCGCACCGGCCUGAUCCGGGAAGGGCUGCGUGUCCCCGGAAACAUCGUCUAUUCUAGCUUGUGUGGACUGGGCUCAGAGAAAGGGCGGGAGGCUGCCACAACCAUAGGUGGUCUGGGGUUUUCUUCCGAAAGAAACCCAGAGAUGCAGUUCAAACCGAAUACACCCGAGACGGUGGAGGCCUCCGCUGUCUCCGGAAAGCCCCCAAAUGGCUUCAGUGCUAUAUACAAAACGCCACCCGGAAUACAAAAAAGUGCUGUCCCCACGGCAGAAACACUGGGCUUGGACAGACCUGCUAGCGACAAACAGAGCCCGCUAAACAUCAAUGGUGCUAGUUACCUGCGGCUGCCCUGGGUCAAUCCUUACAUGGAGGGGGCCACGCCAGCCAUCUACCCUUUCCUCGACUCGCCAAAUAAGUAUUCCCUGAACAUGUACAAGGCCUUGCUACCUCAGCAGUCCUACAGCCUGGCCCAGCCGCUGUAUUCUCCGGUCUGUACCAACGGGGAGCGAUUUCUCUACCUGCCGCCACCUCACUACGUCAGUCCCCACAUCCCGUCGUCCCUGGCCUCGCCCAUGAGACUCUCGACGCCUUCGGCCUCACCAGCCAUCCCGCCUCUGGUCCACUGCGCAGACAAAAGCCUGCCCUGGAAGAUGGGCGUCAGUCCUGGGAACCCAGUCGAUUCCCACUCGUAUCCCCACAUCCAGAACAGUAAGCAGCCUAGGGUGCCAUCUGCCAAGGCGGUCACCAGCGGCCUGCCGGGGGACACGGCUCUCCUGUUGCCCCCCUCGCCUCGGCCUUCACCCCGCGUCCACCUCCCCUCCCAGCCCGCUGCGGACACCUACUCCGAGUUCCAUAAGCACUAUGCCAGGAUCUCCACGUCGCCCUCGGUCACCCUGUCCAAGCCAUACAUGACGGUCAGCAGCGAGUUCCCCGCGGCCAGGCUCUGCAGCAGCAAGUAUCCUAAGGCCCCAGAAGGAGCCGAAAGCACCCAGCCAGCUCCCGGGCACACCCGCAAAGCGGCAGGUCAGGACAGAAAAGAUGGCAGCUCACCUCCUCUCUUGGAGAAGCAGACGGUUACCAAAGACGUCACCGAUAAGCCACUAGACUUGUCCUCUAAAGUGGUGGAUGUAGAUGCUUCCAAAGCCGACCACAUGAAGAAGAUGGCUCCCACGGUCCUGGUUCACAGCAGAGCUGGGAGCGGCCUCGUGCUCUCCGGAAGUGAGAUUCCGAAAGAAACUCUAUCUCCUCCAGGAAACGGCUGUGCUAUCUAUAGAUCUGAGAUCAUUAGCACGGCUCCCUCGUCCUGGGUGGUGCCCGGGCCAAGUCCUAACGAAGAGAACAAUGGCAAAGGCCUGCCGCUGAAAAACAAGGCCUUGGACUGGGCCAUCCCGCAGCAGCGCAGUUCUUCGUGUCCCCGCAUGGGCGCCGCCGACGCCGUGGUCACUAACGUUUCGGGGUCGGUGUCGAGCGCCGGCCGCCCGGCCUCUGCGUCGCCGGCCCCGAAUGCCACCGCCGAGGGCAGCAAGACCAGCAGGAGCUCCGUGGAUACCACGCCAUCCGUCAUCCAGCACGUGGGCCAGCCCCCGACCACACCUGCCAAGCACAGCGGCGGCACCGGCAGCAAGGGCGCCAAAGUCAGCAACCCAGAGACGAGCUUCAAAGCGAACGAGAACGGCCUCCCGCCGAGCUCAAUAUUUCUCUCACCAAACGAGGCGUUCAGGUCCCCACCCAUCCCCUACCCCAGGAGUUACCUGCCUUACCCAGCGCCCGAGGGCAUUGCCAUAAGCCCCCUCUCCUUACACGGCAAAGGCCCUGUCUACCCUCACCCGGUGUUGUUGCCCAACGGCAGUCUGUUUCCUGGGCACCUCGCCCCGAAGCCGGGACUGCCCUAUGGGCUACCCACGGGCAGGCCAGAGUUCGUGACCUACCAGGACGCGCUGGGGUUGGGCAUGGUGCAUCCCAUGUUGAUACCUCACACGCCCAUCGAGAUCACUAAAGAGGAGAAACCGGAGAGGAGGUCCCGGUCCCACGAAAGGACCCGCUACGAGGACCCAAGCCUCCGGAACCGGUUUUCUGAGAUGCUGGAGGCUGGCAACACCAAGUUACAUCCAGAAGUCCCCGCGGACAAGAACCUAAAGCCCAGCCCCAGCUGGAAUCAAGGGAAGACCGUAGUCAAGAGUGACAAGCUCGUCUAUGUAGACCUCCUCCGGGAAGAGCCAGACGCGAAAACCGACGCUAACGCGUCCAAACCCGGCUUCACAGCUGAGAGUGUCGGCCAGAGUGCCGAGCCCACCAAACCCCCGCCUGACCCGGCCCUGCAGCCACACCGGGAUUUCAUUGCCCUGAGAGAGGAGUUGGGGCGCAUCAGUGACUUCCACGAAGCCUAUGCUUUCAAACAGGCUCCGGGCCAGCCAGUCUUCGGCUUAAGCAAGGAGAAUGUUCCGGCGGGAACCAACAAGGAGAACCUGGCGAUGCCGGUCUCGACUUCAUUCCUGGAGCCGACCCUGGGGAGCGACGGCUCUGCGGUCACUUUCGGGAAAACCCAAGAGGAUCCCAAACCGUUUUGCGUGGGCAGUGCCCCACCGAGUGUGGACGUCACCCCCACCUAUACCAAAGACGGAGCUGACGAGGCAGAAUCAACCGAUGGCAAAGUUCUGAAACCGAAGCCAUCGAAGCUGGCAAAGAGAAUCGCAAACUCCGCUGGUUACGUGGGUGACCGGUUCAAGUGUGUCACUACCGAACUGUACGCAGACUCCAGUCAGCUCAGCCGGGAGCAGCGGGCAUUGCAGAUGGAAGGAUUACAAGAGGACAGUAUUUUAUGUCUACCCGCUGCUUACUGUGAGCGUGCAAUGAUGCGCUUCUCAGAGUUGGAGAUGAAAGAGCGAGAAGGUGGCCACCCCACGACCAAAGACUCCGAGGUGUGCAAAUUCAGCCCCGCUGACUGGGAAAGGCUGAAAGGAAGUCAGGACAAAAAGCCAAAGUCGGUCGCCCUGGAGGAGGCCAUUGCCGACCAGAACGACAGUGAGAGAUGCGAGUAUAGUGCUGGAAACAAACACGACCCCUUCGAAGCCCCAGAGGACAGAGAUCUUCCCGGGGAGAAGUACUUCAUGGACACGGAGCCUGCCAGCGAGCCCCCCGCCGACCAGGCGGCCCCGGACGUGCCACGCAGCCCCACCCUCCGGCUGGACAGAAAGCGCAAGGUCUCUGGCGACAGCAACCACACCGAGACCACUGUGGAAGAGCUCCCGGAGGACUCUCUGCUGAAAGCCAAGCGGAGACGGGUCUCCAAAGAUGACUGGCCUGAGAGGGAAAUGACAAACAGUUCCUCUAACCACUUAGAAGAGCCACAUUGUAGUGAGCUGACCAAGCUGAAGGUGUGCAUUGAAUUAACAGGGCUCCAUCCCAAAAAGCAACGCCACUUGCUGCACCUUAGAGAACGGUGGGAGCAGCAGGUGUCGGCAGCAGAGAGCAAACCUGGCCGGCAGGGCAGGAAGGAAGUGACCCAGGCGGUUCAGCCUGCGGUCACCCCCCAGGGCAAUAGCAUCUCCGAAGAGAAACCUGGCAGGAAAAGGGCAGAGGCCAAAAGCAACAGAAGCUGGUUGGAGGAGUCAGUUAAACACACUGGCAAUGAACAAGCCUUGCCUGUGUUCUCCGGCUCUCCGCCCGUGAAGGGCCUUUCAUCCACCAAUGCAAGCGGCCGAAAGCAGACUCAGCCAGGCUGCACGCCAGCCUCAGGACUGCCUACCAAACAUGACCAAGUUAAAGAAAGCCAGAAGACAGAUGUGGUGUGCAUGGACGUCGAAGAGGACUGCCAGGCCACGUCCCUGCUGCAGAAAUACACCGACAACAGCGAGAAGCCAUCCGGGAAGCGACUGUGCAAAACCAAGCAUCUGAUCCCUCAGGAGCCCAGGCGGGGCUUGCCGCUGCCAGGGGACUACUACGUGGACAAUGCCGAUGGCAAGGUGACCGUCCGGAGAUUUCGAAAGCGGCCUGAGCCCAGUUCCGACUAUGAUCUUUCGCCGGCCAAGCAGGACCAGAAGCCCUUGGACCGCUUGCAGCAACUGUUACCACCUUCCCAGGCCUCGCAGCUGACAUGCUCGAGCUCCCCUCCAGAGACCACCCAGUCCCGCCCAAUGCCACCGGAAGCGCGGAGACUCAUCGUCAAUAAGAACGCGGGCGAGACCCUCCUACAGCGGGCCGCCCGGCUUGGCUACGAGGAAGUGGUCUUGUACUGCCUGGAGAACAAGAUUUGUGAUGUGAACCACCGCGACAACGCGGGUUACUGUGCCCUGCACGAGGCUUGUGCAAGGGGUUGGCUCAACAUUGUACGACACCUCCUUGAAUAUGGCGCCGAUGUCAACUGCAGUGCCCAGGAUGGAACCAGGCCUCUCCACGAUGCUGUCGAGAAUGAUCAUCUCGAAAUUGUCCGCUUGCUCCUCUCCUAUGGUGCUGAUCCCACCUUGGCUACAUACUCAGGUAGAACCAUCAUGAAAAUGACCCACAGUGAACUUCUGGAGAAGUUCUUAACAGACUAUUUAAACGACCUGCAGGUUCCUGAUGACUAUGACCCCAGUGGCUCUUGGGAGUUCUACGGCAGCUCUGUGUGUGAACCAGAUGAUGAAAGUGGUUACGAUGUUUUAGCAAAUCCCCCAGGACCGGAGGACCAGGAUGACAGCGACGAGGCCUAUGGUGACCUAUUCGAAUUUGAAUUUUCCGAAAGCCCCCUUUUGCCAUGUUACAACGUCCAGGUGUCCGUCGCUCAGGGGCCUCGGAACUGGCUGUUGCUGUCAGACACGCUCAAGAAAUUGAAAAUGUCCUCCCGCAUAUUCCGCUGCAAUUUCCCAAAUGUAGAAAUUGUCACCAUUGCGGAGGCCGAGUUCUACCGGCAAGUGUCAGCAAGUCUCUUAUUCUCUUGCCCCAAAGACCUGGAGUCCUUUAAUCCGGAAAGUAAGGAGCUCUUAGAUCUGGUGGAGUUCACGAACGAGCUUCAGACUCUGCUGGGCUCAUCCAUGGAGUGGCUCCACCCCAGCGACAUGGACUCAGACGACUACUGAGGCUAGAAACCUGAACACCACUAGACUCCCUUGCCGCUAGAAUUCUGAAUGGUCGGUUUGGAAGGCAGAGCGAGGUAGAGGCAUCUUCCUGCUCUACUGGCUGCUGGAAGUCAUCUGACACAACAGGAGAGAAAGACAAAGUAAAUAGCAAGACCUGAAGAAAUGAUCGAAACGAAAGAAUACCAGUGAGCCUGAACUUCUAUAGGUAACGAGGAGCUCCUAAGAGCCCAAAUAAAAGCAACGAAAAACUCCAAGUUACUUCGCUGUUUGUAUUUGUGCUGGCAGUACGGGGGGGGCCCGAGACCAACUGAGGUUCUAUCCUGGAUGAAGGUCAUUUUAUUAAUAAAGCCAAGAAAAUAAGUGAGAGCCACAGGUUUAAGGGGUGCAGGGGAAGUAAGUAAUGGGCUCGGUUUAGGAGACAUUUCAGGUUGUGGUUUAUGCGGUUGGAGGAGGUGUUGUUGAGUUAGAACAUUUAUUGUAAGAACCAUCAGGGUGUUAGAAAACGUGGACAGAGAAUAACUAGGGUAUCUGACCCAGGGUAUAGAUGAGCUGCCCAUGGCCUAGAGAAGUUUGGAUGUCAAGGAAUUCCCCAUGGGUAAAGAGGAGGUACCAUAGGUGUAGACGCCCCCGCCCCCUGCCCCCCCCUCCAAUGGGAGCAGAGGGAGUGCACCCGCUGGGCGUAGAGGAGCCCUCCACAGUGAAGAUAGGGUAUAAAUGAGGUCAUACUGGCUGCAGCGGGCUCCCAGGUAUAGAUUCGCUCAUACUGCUUACCAAGGUGGAGAGUAGAAGUAUGAUUCUUCUGAAGGUGCCUCUAAAGGUCAAGGUCAUUCCCUUUGUCUGGUCCUACCUCCUGGCUACAAUGUGGUUGGGACCGCUAUAGCCACAGCACCCACCCUGGACCAUGAGGCAUGGAAGUCAAGCACUCAGUGUAUUUGGAGGAGCCUGGGUACCCGAGGACCUAGUGGCACAGAGCCACCAUACCAGCCCUGCCCUGCUCUGCCUGCCUUUUUAUGUUUGAGAAAAAUAAACAGUUCUGUUGAA